GAUGAACGCUAGCGGCAGGCUUAACACAUGCAGGUCGAGGGGUAUAGUUCUUCGGAGCUAGAGACCGGCGCACGGGUGCGUAACGCGUAUGCAAUCUACCUUUUGCAGAGGGAUAGCCCAGAGAAAUUUGGAUUAAUACCUCAUGGUAUGUGAGAAUGGCAUCAUUUACACAUUAAAGUCACAACGGCAAAAGAUGAGCAUGCGUCCCAUUAGCUAGUUGGUAAGGUAACGGCUUACCAAGGCAACGAUGGGUAGGGGUCCUGGGAGGGAGAUCCCCCACACUGGUACUGAGACACGGACCAGACUCCUACGGGAGGCAGCAGUGAGGAAUAUUGGACAAUGGGCGCAAGCCUGAUCCAGCCAUGCCGCGUGCAGGAUGACGGUCCUAUGGAUUGUAAACUGCUUUUGUACAGGAAGAAACACUGGUUCGUGAACCAGCUUGACGGUACUGUAAGAAUAAGGAUCGGCUAACUCCGUGCCAGCCGCCGCCGUAAUAC
rnacentral:rRNA from 1 species